ensembl:miRNA oni-mir-10686-2 oni-mir-10686-2
AUUGCGCAGACCUGUCCGAGAGGGUUCUAUAUCCCUCUCGGACAGGUCUGCGCAAUGCA